rnacentral:rRNA from 1 species
AUUGAACGCUGGCGGAAUGCUUUACACAUGCAAGUCGAGCGGCAGCGCGGGGCAACCUGGCGGCGAGCGGCGAACGGGUGAGUAAUGUAUCGGAACGUAUCCUUAAGUGGGGGACAACUAGUCGAAAGACUAGCUAAUACCGCAUACGAUCGAGAGAUGAAAGUGGGGGACCGCAAGGCCUCACGCUUUUGGAGCGGCUGAUAUCCGAUUAGCUUGUUGGUGAGGUAAAGGCUUACCAAGGCUAUGAUCGGUAGCUGGUCUGAGAGGAUGAUCAGCCACACUGGGACUGAGACACGGCCCAGACUCCUACGGGAGGCAGCAGUGGGGAAUUUUGGACAAUGGGGGCAACCCUGAUCCAGCCAUUCCGCGUGAGUGAAGAAGGCC